rnacentral:lncRNA from 1 species
GUUAGAGGACGUAAUGAACUUGGAGGUGGUGGAGGAUAGGAGAUUAAGAAGAGACACAAGAAGUUUACUGAAAUAGUGCAGAUUUCUCGUAAGAGCCUUCCUUCAGUAAUCACUUACACCAGGAUUUCAUGUCAAGCACUGCUUCAAGAGAUCCUAGCCCAGGACAUCCACCCCUCAAAAGACUGCGUCUCUCAGACUUAACAAAUAAAUAAUCAUACUUUGUGUAGUAAAGAAAUAUUUUAACAAAUGAAUACAGAGUGUUUGGAAAUGAAGUAAUGCACAAAGAUAUACCACGCAAAUAUGAACAAAAAAGAUGCUUUUGUAACAAUUUUAAGCCCAAGUAAAAAGCCAAUAGAUACCAAUGAAGAAAUGAAUAGUGUUAUGUUUAUACAAGGUUCAUUGAGCAAUAAAAUACUAGUCACGUUGAAGUGUCUCUGAAUGAAGAAUCAGGUUAAUAAUAGCUGAUUCUAUGUUUUUCAAAUGUCAUUGAUGCUAAUUAUUUUAUUUCACAGACAUUAUAUUCUUCACUCCCACUUUCAAAUUUGAGGAUUUCCACAGAUCUCUAAGAGCAAUUGGUGAAAGCAAAUUGUGUAUCAAGUCCUUCUCAGUGAUUCAGGAAGUUUAGACAACUGUUUUAUUCCAAAUUAAAGUGUGAAACUUGCACAGCUCUAAUUGUGUUAGCUUGGGCUAAUUAUUUCAUAUUUCUGAGUCUUACUUUAAUCAUCUUUAAAAUAAAAAAAGUCCUAAAUUAUAAUAUGUUGAAAACCACACAUAAAAUCUCUUAAAGGACUAUCUUAAUCUCUCAGCAAUACCUGCUCUUUUUAUCUUCCUCUCUCUCCUUUUCCUCCCUCUUCUUUUUUAUCUUCCUCCCUCUCCUUUUUUAAAAUGUAGAAGCCACUAUAUUUUAUGUAAUUUUAAUUCUAAAAUUUUAAUAUUCUAAAAUGAUAUCCUAGUAGAACAGUGAGAAAGAAUGAAAUAAUUUCAUUUUAUUUCAAAAAGAAUUUCAGUAUUUAAAAUGCCUCCAACAUUAUGAUUGUUAUUGACCCUGAUGUUGAUUGAAAUAUGAAAGGGCAGAAUUACACAUUCAGAUGUAAUGGAACUUCCUUACGUUACACAAAUUAGAAACUAUAUCAAAGAGAAUGUUUAGAUUUUGUUGUAAUAUUUUCAGAAAGAUAAUAAAAUAUUUCCAUGUGUCAGCAAGAAGACAAAGAAAUAUCUCUAGUAUGCCCAUACCAUAAUCCUGUUUCCUCCAAAAUCCUCAGAAAAAGAUAGUGAAGGAAAAUUGCUUUAUUUUCCAAAUGUCAUAGAAUUAUAUAAGCUAAUGAAAUAAAACUGUUCAUGUUGUAAAAAAAUGCAUUAUCGCCUUUUGGAAAAAUCCUCUUAGGACCCAAUGUUUCUCAUUGACCCUGCCCCUUAUCAAAAAUAGCAAUAACAGCAAAUACCAGUACUCCAGGUAAUUCUGACUAUAAACAGUGCCAGAAUUUUUAUCAAGUGCGUAAUUCUUACCUUAAGGAAUCACUUAAGCCCCCUCCAAAUACCAAGUUUCUUUGUUGGAAAUAACUAAUGGCUACCAAGAUACAGCUUUCAUUGUGUUUUUCCCCAUGGUAAUGAAACUGAAUUACCAGACUGUUUGAAAUUAUAGGCAAAAUAGAACUUUUAAAAAAUAUUCAUGAUUGAUUUGAACUAAAUAAAAAUACUGCUUAACUCAUAGCACCAUUUCUUUCUUUCCUUUUUUUUUUUUUUUGAGUUGUUAGAGUCUUAUUCUAUCACCCGGGCUGGAGUACAGUGGUGCUAUCUCAGCUCACUGCAACCUCUGCCUCCUGGCUUAAGCAGUUCUCCUGCCUCAGCAUCCUGAGUAGCUGAGAUUACAGGUGCACCACCACACCCAGCUAAUUUUGUAUUUUUAGUAGAGACAGGGUUUCACAAUGUUGCCCAGGCUGGUCUCGAACUCCUGGCCUCAAGU